UAGUUAUAAACAAAACUCCAGCAAAAUUUAAAUAGCAUCAGUGAAACAACAGCCGAUGAUUUGGAGAGACGUCGAGUCGCAAUUUUGGAACUUUCCGCGCAGGGAAAAACUCCCUCUGAAAUUGCCAAUGUUCUGAACUGCAGCCGCACCACCGUUUACAGCGUGGUAGCCUAAGGGACUCCUGAGGCGACCACAAGAUCUAAGUCAAGGCCUCGAAGGUUGGACGAAAUGGUUGCAGCCGUGAAAAAGUCUGUCGAGGACUAGAGCGGCAAGAUCACCGUCAGCGGCCUCUCCAGGGAGUUCAACGUCAGCAGAAGGACCAUGGACCGGCUAGUUAAGAAAGAUCUUGGCAUUAACGUCUAUAAGAGAAUCCCUCGUCAACCCCUCAACCCGUAAAAUUUAAAGGAGUGUUGAGUUUUAGACGCGUACACCUGUAUAAGACUACUAUUGAAUGGAAUCGGUUCUUUUUUUAACCUUAACAUUCUACAAGUCCGACUCAAUUCGACUCUGCAAAAUUAUGCAAAUCCAAGAACCGUGACACGACAGGCCUCGUAACCCAUAGUUACCUAAAGCAGUAUCCCCCUCUUCGAUAUGAAAAAAGUAUGAUUACGGCACUGUUUCUGUAAGAUUGCUUAUAUAUCCUGUGCCUUAUUGAACAAACUACUAUGUAAAUAGCACUUAAAGCCUAUUAGUGAAUUGAGUUAAAAUGCAAUGACUCAGGGGAGGCUUGCCAUUGAUUAGUCUUUGCAGAAUUGUCAUAAAGUUGGUGUAGCAUUAUAAAUAUAUUGUACCUUAACUAAAUAAAUAUUAAUGACAUUCCAUUGUAAUGAAAACUCUCUCGACUUCCUCCCAACAAACUCACGAUGGAAUAUAUUUGCUUGUUCCGAUUUCUAAUUACAUAUUAUCAAAAGAUAAUAAUUAGUAUAUUAUAUAAAAGUGCAUUUGUUGUUCCAUAACCUCCUUACAAAGAUCAAUGUUGCGAUUGACUAAUUCCAAUUUCCAAAUUCAAAAUAAGGUCAUACAUAUUUAUAUAUACCGUAUGUGUCAUAAUGGCUUUUGAGUGAAUUUAAAAACCUCUUGCUCUACAACCAUAGCUCCAAAUUUUAGGAAAUUUUGAACAAGAUUUCGUGAUAUGUUUCUUAAAGUUACUUAUUAUAUUUAAAACAAUAUAAAGUGCCCUAUUUUUCUUUUAUCAAGGAUGUUGGAACUACGUUCAAAAAUCCAUAUGAGGAUUAGGGGUGGAGACAAAUUUGUUGACAUUGUCAAGAACUUUUGAGUUCACGUGAACACUAUCACCAACAUUAAAAAGAAAUGUGAUUCUACUGGAACCUUUAAAGGAGGCGUAGUCGAAGACCCUGCAAAGUCCGUACCAAGGUCAAGGUCAAAGAGAUAGCUCUAUUAUUCAAUCUAAUCUUUCAACUAACAUAUUGAAGUUUGCAAGAGACAAUAAUAGUUGAGUAGACUAGGAGGGACUUGGUGAAGAAAAAUCUGGUUUUUAAACAGAAUUGGGAAUUGUAAGAUCCAAAUGUUGACUACCUAACGAUAACAGAAACAGUUUAAAAGAUGCCAGUAGAUUUCUUGCAGAUACUAGCAACCAGGGCUGCGGAGACGGUACAUAAAAUGUCUGACUUCGACUCCAACACACAUUACUAUUUUUUAGUAAUAUAUUUUAUAGCCAAUAUAAGUACUAUGGAGUCAUUUGAUUCUGUAUACUUUAAAUAUUGAUUUAAUUUAUAGGUAGUUAUUAGUUUUAUGUAGUAAAUAAUCGUGCUAUGUAUAAAGAUAUGUAUUUAUCACUCCCAAUACAUUAUGACGCAUACGAUACAUAGAUAAAAUAUGAAUAGGCCAUGAGCAUACUAAAAAAAAUAUUAUCCGCCAGCUGCUGUAACAUUCUGUAGCUUGAGAGCCUAAUCAUAAUUUUUUUGCAGUGCCUCUAUGUGAGUAAAAUACCUAUAUUUUAUAUAUCAUUUUGGGAGCUUUAGUAUUUUGCCACAAGGCAGCGCAACUCUCUCAUGCCCCAUUGCUUUACUGAAGUUAUUGUGUCUUUUACUCAACUAUCUACAGACUUUAACCCGCUCAGAACUUUUAUUUCUGGACUAUUCAUAAUAUUCAAUAUUUCUUGGACUAUCGUGGAGAAAAAAUAUCAUCCGCACCUCUCAUCCAAAUUUAAAGUAGCUCCGACUAGUAAUCAGAACAGUUUGAUACGCCAUGUACAUGAUUUUCAUCGUCAAGAGCUGUGAAUCUGUUCGCCAGAUUUCGAGACUAUUAUUAUUUGUGAAGAAAGACAUACUGAAUAAAAAAUAAAGUUGAAUAUAGUAUUUAAACAUAUCACAAAUCGGCUUUGAGUUGUAUUUUCUUGAUUUCAUAAGAAUACCUUUUUCGUUAUUUAGUCAUGAUACUGCAAAUUUUGGGUUCCCAAGACCAUAGACUGACCAAAUUUGACUAAAUAAUUAACAAAUAAAAUGUUUUUGACUCACUAAUGAAAAUGAACUUUUGAAAUAAAUCCGAAUGCAGCGGUUAUACGAUGGUUUAUGACCUUUAUCAUAAUUAAUAAAAUAAUAACCUUUUCAAAACUAAUCGAAUACGUCUUUUCUUAUUUGUAAUUUGUCAAACAAUUUGAAUUUCACUUAUAUAAAAAAGGAAUUCGCCACUACAAGUUUUGAGGCCCAACUCUGUAUACUACAUAAUAUGUCAAUGGGUAACUAGGGAACAAUGAACCCAAUAAUCAAUAUUAUAAUCAUGGAUAAAAGAGGAAUAAUAAAAAAACCAUUAUCUGAGUAA
rnacentral:lncRNA from 1 species